rnacentral:rRNA from 1 species
UACGUAUGGUGCAAGCGUUAUCCGGAUUUACUGGGUGUAAAGGGAGCGCAGGCGGCACGGCAAGCCUGAUGUGAAAGCCCGCGGCCCAACCGCGGGACUGCAUUGGGAACUACCGGGCUGGAGUGCCGGAGGGGCAGGCGGAAUUCCUGGUGUAGCGGUGAAAUGCGUAGAUAUCAGGAGGAACACCGGUGGCGAAGGCGGCCUGCUGGACUGCAACUGACGUUGAGGCCCGAAAGCGUGGGGAGCAAACAGG